UGCCUGCUCUCAAGAUGUCAUUAUCAGGAGACUACAAUUCUCCUCAGAAGAUGCUUUAAUGGAAAUCAUCAUCUCCUCUUCAGUCAUUCCAAGAGCAUCCACUUUGAUGUGGUUGAGAAAUAUCGUGAAGGUGAUUCUGUGUUCAACUCUAGCCACAGCUCAGCGGCUUGGAAAACUGUCUCCUCAUUCUCCACAGGUCCAUGUGAUCUUCUCUGCAGCAUUCAGAACCAAGGCUGCCGCAUCCACUAUCCUAGGUCAUCCUGGGUUCUUUAGGUACCAAAAUGGACUUUGGAGAAAAACAGAACCAACAGGAGAAUGAGAACUUUCCUGUGCUACCAAAUAUUUUGGGAGAACAUGACUUUUAACUGAUUCUAUAAUACAUG